rnacentral:tRNA from 1 species
GCCGCGGUAGCUCAGCCUGGUUAGAGCACCACACUCAUAAUGUGGGGGUCGAGGGUUCAUAUCCCUCCCGCGGCA